UGAAAAGAAAGUUCCGUCGUCCAAAAUUACAAUUGCGGAAAUUUCUCCCUCAGCAAAUGUAAAUAAACGGAAUACAGGUCUAGAAAGCUGGUUGGGAAUGGUAAUUACUGUGGCUGGUGCGAAUUUAAUUUGAUUAGCCACUGCAAACACUCGAGAAAAUGUUUGGUUAUCUUCCAUAUGGAUAUAUCCUAGAGCUUCGGUGUCCUCAUGUAUAUACUCAUCAAUCAAAACAAAUUCGCUAUCAAUGAUAACAAAGAGGUAAGUGACUGGGGUGGAUUGAGAAUCGACUGUAAUUGAAUAGCCAUGUCUCUUACCAGGUAUACUAGACCAUUCGAAUGUUUUAUAUUCAUCUAUAAGCAGUUGAGAAAUAUCUGCCAUAGAAACAUGGAUACCGUAAAUAACACCGUUGGAAGAGUAAAUAAUAACAUCUUUCUCUGUGACUAAUAAUUGUGCGUUUUCAGGAACAUUAAGAACAGUUUCAGGUCCAUAAACAGCAUAAUUGUGAUCUAAAGCUUGUAGAACAAAUUGACCAUCCCUCUUGAAC